rnacentral:lncRNA from 1 species
AAUCAUGCAUAUUAAAGCGUCUCAGCACUUUGUCUAUGUAUGAACUCUGACUUAGGCCAGCAGUUUUUGUGAUCUAUCUCUAUAGAUUCUGAUUCCUAAUAUAUAGGCAGCUUCACCUAGGUCCUUCAUAGAAAAGCAUUUCCCCAACCAAGUCUUACUUGUUGCAGGGUAGGACAUCGUUUCCAAUGAGUAAUAUGUCAUCUACAUAUAACACCAGGAACACGAUCAUGCUCCACUAACCU